CUAACUCUGUAGACCCGAAGAGGGUUUGGUGCAGAGUUGCGGUGGUAACACCGCAUAGGAAAAUCUCGCUAUAUGCUGGAAAACCUUGUAAAAUUAACAGUACCGAUAAGGUGAAAAUCUGUUGAUAGACCUAAUGAAGAAGCCGCUGCUUCGGUACAGGUCGCAAGACAAUCAGCAGGCAACUCUGACCUUAAUUAGUCAGAGGCGCCUCAGAGACUACACGCGAGACUCCUGCUACGCGCAAAGCUAAGCAGGAUGAUGAUAUAGUCCAUCGAAAUUCAUGGAUGAAAG
rnacentral:ncRNA from 1 species